rnacentral:rRNA from 1 species
GAUGAACGCUGGCGGCGUGCCUAAUACAUGCAAGUCGAGCGAAUGGAUUAAGAGCUUGCUCUUAUGAAGUUAGCGGCGGACGGGUGAGUAACACGUGGGUAACCUGCCCAUAAGACUGGGAUAACUCCGGGAAACCGGGGCUAAUACCGGAUAACAUUUUGAACCGCAUGGUUCGAAAUUGAAAGGCGGCUUGGGCUGUCACUUAUGGAUGGACCCGCGUCGCAUUAGCUAGUUGGUGAGGUAACGGCUCACCAAGGCAACGAUGCGUAGCCGGCCUGGGAGGGUGAUCGGCCACACUGGGACUGAGACACGGCCCAGACUCCUACGGGAGGCAGCAGUAGGGAAUCUUCCGCAAUGGACGAAAGUCUGACGGAGCAUCGCCGCGUGAGUGAUGAAGGCUUUCGGGUCGUAAAACUCUGUUGUUAGGGAAGAACAAGUGCUAGUUGAAUAAGCUGGCACCUUGACGGUACCUAACCAGAAAGCCACGGCUAACUACGUGCCAGCAGCCGCCGUAA